rnacentral:rRNA from 1 species
GACGAACGCUGGCGGCGUGCUUAACACAUGCAAGUCGAACGGAAAGGCCCUGCUUUUGUGGGGUGCUCGAGUGGCGAACGGGUGAGUAACACGUGAGUAACCUGCCCUUGACUUUGGGAUAACUUCAGGAAACUGGGGCUAAUACCGGAUAGGAGCUCCUGCUGCAUGGUGGGGGUUGGUAAGUUUCGGCGGUUGGGGAUGGACUCGCGGCUUAUCAGCUUGUUGGUGGGGUAGUGGCUUACCAAGGCUUUGACGGGUAGCCGUCCUGAGAGGGGGACCGGCCACAUUGGGACUGAGAUACGGCACAGACUCCUAUGGGAGGCAGCAGUGGGGAAUAUUGCACAAUGGGCGGAAGCCUGAUGCAGUAACGCCGCGUGCGGGAUGACGGCCUUCGGGUUGUAAACCGCUUUCGCCUGUGACGAAGCGUGAGUGACGGUAAUGGGUAAAGAAGCACCGGCUAACUACGUG